CUGUUUAUCAAAAACAUGGCUCUCUGUAUAUUGAAGAUAGAGAGUCGGACCUGCCCGGUGAAUUUUUUAACGGCCGCGGUACUCUGACCGUGCAAAGGUAGCAAAAUCAUUUGCCUUAUAAUUGAAGGCUAGAAUGAAUGGUUUGACAAGAAUACAACUGUCUCUUUACAAUUACAUAAAAUUUUAUCUGCAGUUGAAGAAGCCUGCAUUUGAAUAAAAGACAAGAAGACCCUAUCGAGCUUAAAAAAAACUGGUGGAAUAACAAACUUAAUCCUAACUUAUAAAUAAAUAAAUAGUCAACUACUGGAAAUUUUGGUUGGGGCGACCGGGGAACAAAAAAAACUUCCUUUAUAAAAAUUUAGAUGCCCAAAUAUUGAUCCAGCAUUAUAUGAUUAAAGAAAUUAGUUACCGUAGGGAUAACAGCAUUAUCUUUUUUAAGAGUUCUUAUCGAAAAAAAGGUUUGUGACCUCGAUGUUGGACCAGAAUAUCCUAAAGAUGCAGCCGUCUUUAAGGGUUGGUCUGUUCGACCAUUAAAAUUCUACGUGAUC
rnacentral:rRNA from 1 species